UACGAAGGGGGCUAGCGUUGCUCGGAAUCACUGGGCGUAAAGCGCACGUAGGCGGCUUUUUAAGUCAGGGGUGAAAUCCUGGAGCUCAACUCCAGAACUGCCUUUGAUACUGAGAAGCUUGAGUUCGGGAGAGGUGAGUGGAACUGCGAGUGUAGAGGUGAAAUUCGUAGAUAUCGGGAAGAACACCAGUGGCGAAAGCGCUCUACUGGGCCAUAACUGACACUGAGGGACGAAAGCUAGGGGAGCGAAAGGG
rnacentral:rRNA from 1 species